AACGCACAUUGCGCCCAUCAGCAUUCUGGUGGGCAUGCCUGUCCGAGGGUUUUUUUACACGCCUCCGGCCUUGCCGGGUGUUGGGGCGCUGCGCUGGCAGGCCCCGAAGCGCAUCGGCGCGUCGUGCGUCCCCCGCAGGCACGGUGAAUGUUCACCUGCGGGGACGGCCGCCGCCGCCGCAAGCCAUCUCGUACGCCAUAAAACCUCGGAUCAGGUAGGGAUACCCGCUGAACUUAA
rnacentral:misc_RNA from 1 species